ensembl:lncRNA
GGGGUUUCCACUAGUUACCACAGCCUCAAAGUCUUACGUGGCCUCUAUUGUAAAAAUUCAUGAAAACAAAAAUGUACUUUUAAGGUUAGGCAUAAGGUUAGCAGUGUGGUUAAGGUUAGGUUUAAAAUCACAUUUUAAGAAGAUACAUUUUAGAAAUAGGUGUGGUUUAUGGGGCGGCAGGUAGCCUAGUGGUUGGAGCGUUGGGCCAGUAACCCGAAAGGUUGCUGGAUUGAAUCCCUGAGCUGACAAGCCCCUCCCAGUCAACACCACCUCAUAAUAUGAGGAAGUGCAUUGUUUAUAAGGAUUGCCUGCUGCAGUUGUUUGGGAGAUAUUCAGUUUGCAGCUGAACAUGCAACAAGGGGACCCUCAGCAUCACGCAGACAUGCCCUCACUUUGAGCAUUGCUAUAAAUGGAACAGGAAGGACACUUGAAUCAGUAUCUUUGAUGAGGGGCCAGGAGCUACUCUGCCAUGCCCAUCAAGGGGGCACUGGCAAAGUCCUUACCUCCAGCCUCACCUCCUGCCUGCUCACCAACGGUCGUUGAUGGGGAGACCAGAAUUGAAUACAUCUAUGGAGACAGAUCUUCAAGACUUGCAAGAUGAUGUGAUGAAGUUCAGACCGACAGACUGGCUUGAUAUUGAUGUCUCUGGAUGGAGAGAGACCUGGCAUGCAACACAUCCACAAUAUGGGACUGAAGGGGAUUACUAAAAAUACAGUACAGCAGAAAUGUCCAGCAUUUGCAACACCCUUUUCGUUAUAUGUGUCACUAAUGAACUUUUCCUCAACUCUGCCUAUUUCUACAGAUGGAGAGAACUACAGAUGCUUUUGCCAAAUGCCAGACCUGUUCAAACAUCAACAUAGUACCUGUUUGUGUGUCAGAUAUUACCCAUCCUAACUGCCAUUGGUAAUAGAACAGUGACUAUGUGUUCUCAGAAAAAUAAAAAGAGCCAGCACAGAGACUUGCAAGAUGAUGUCCAGACUGACAGACAGGCUUUAUACUGAUGUCACUGAAUUGAGAGAGACCUGGUACUCGGCAUUAACAUUUUACUAGACACAACUUUUACUUGAAUUGUAUUUUUUUUAAGUUAUUGAAUUGAAUGGUGUCUGUCAAUAUGGGGAGGGAGAAACCCUGUGUAUUCUGCACCAUGAUCAGGGAACUGUUGUAUACAGGACACCACACAGGAAGGUAUGGCCACUGACAUGUUUGCCAAGGUACUUACCACCUAACAAAAUGCCGAUAGGCACAGUAUCUGUAUCGGCUGGGAAUGACAAUGAAACGUGAAAGGUCACUUAGUUAAAUUAGCAGAACACUGCAUCUAUAGUAUUAUGUAAAGGGUUGUUUGUUCUACAUGAACCUGCUACUACAUUUGAAAGCUAUUAAAACACUUUGUUUAUAAUACGUACAUACAUUCAGGAGGCUACUGACCUAUUCAAAGCAUCUCACCAUACAUCUGCCUGCAGUUAUUGAACUCAACCUGCAGGAGGUUUCCCACUGGGCACAGACUCCAGUUCAACGUCUAUUUUUUAUUUACAUUUGGUUGAGUUGUCAACUAAUGUGAAUUCAACAUUAAAUCAACAAAACAUUUCACCAUGUCAUUGGAUUUAGGUAAUGGAAAUACAAAAUGCUCUUAUGUUGAUGACUUAAAAAAAAAAAAUCUCAUCAGUUUUCCACAUAGAAUUUUUUUGUUGAAAUGACAUGGAAACAAUGUUGAUUCAACCAGUUUUUGCCCAGUGGGUUGUUUGUUGUGAUUGGAUGGGGGAAAACAGCUGCAGGCAAGGUUCUGACAGGUGUGUGUGUGUUGGUGGUGGCAAGGACACACCUAAGAAACACCCACAUCAAACCACACUCCCAAUCCAACUCAUGAUUGGCUUCUGUCAUGCCCGCCAGCAUUUCUUGAGGAGGAAGACAAAAAAAGAGGCAAAUUGGCGGGUGAAGUUCCCCUUUAAAUCCAUAAAUAAUUGUUAUUUUACUGACAAUGUUUUGUUUGUUUUCUAAAUAUUCUUGCCGCCUUUCUUUUUUAAAUGAUUGACCGCUGGAAUAUUCCCCAUGUAUCUAAUCAUAUACCCUUGAAGUAGGAAGUUUACAUACACAUUAGCCAAAUACAUUUAAACUCAGUUUUCCACAAUUCCUAACAUUUAAUUCUAGUAAAAAUUCCCUGUUUUAGGUCAGUUAGGCUCAACACUUGAUUUUAAGAAUGUUAAAUGUCAGAAUAAUAUUAGAGAGUGAUUUAUUUCAGCUUUGAUUACUUUCAUCACAUUCCCAGUGGGUCAGAAAUUUACAUAGCAUUGCCUUUAAAUUGUUUAACUUGGGUCAAACAUUUCGGGUAGCCUUCCAUAAAUAAGCUUCCCACAAUAAGUUGGGUGUAUUUUGGCCCAUUCCUCAUGACAGAGCUGGUGUAACUGAGUCAGGUUUGUAGGCCUCCUUGCUCGCACACGCUUUUUCAGUUCUGCCAACAAAUUUUCUAUAGGUUUGAGGUCAGGGCUUUGUGAUGGCCACUCCAAUACCUUGACUUUUUGUUCUUAAGCCAUUUUGCCAAUACUUUGGAAGUAUGCUUGGGGUCAUUGUCCAUUUGGAAGACCCAUUUGCGACCAAGCUUUAACUUUCUGACUGAUGUCUUGAGAUGUUGCUUCAAUAUAUCCACAUAAAUGUCCUUCCUCGUGAUGCUAUCUAUUUUGUGAAGUGCACCAGUCCCUCCUGCAGCAAAGCACCCCCACAACAUGAUGCUGCCACCCCCGUGCUUCACGGUUGGAUGGUGUUCUUCGGCUUGCAAGCCUCCCCCUUUUUCCUCCAAACAUAAUGAUGGUCAUUAUGGCCAAACAGUUCUAUUUUUGUUUUAUCAGACCAGAGGACAUUUUUCAAAAAAGUACGAUCUUUGUCCCCGUGUGCAGUUGCAAACUGUAGUCUGGCUUUUUUAUGGCAGUUUUGGAGCAGUGAGCAGCCUUUCAGGUUAUGUCGAUAUAGGACUCAUUUUACUGUGAAUAUAGAUACUUUUGUUCCUGUUUCCUACAGCAUCUUCACAAGGUCCUUUGCUGUUCUGGGAUUGAUUUGCACUUUUCACACCAAAGUACGUUCAUCUCCAGGAGACAGAACGCGUCUCCUUCCUGAGCAGUGUGACGCAAAGAGGCACUGAGUUUGAAGGUAGGCCUUGAAAUACAUCCACGGGUACAACUCCAAUUGACUCAAAUGAUGUCAAUUAGCCUAUCAGAAGCUUCUAAAGCCAUGACAUAAUGUUCUGGAAUUUUCCAAGCUGUUUAACUGCACAGUCAACUUAGUGUAUGUGAACUUCUGACCCACUUGAAUUCUGAUACAGUGAAUUAUAAGUGAAAUAAUAAUGAAAAUAUAUACAUUUUGGCUUCUCAGUGUUUUUGUCAAUAUGACAUACCCAAAAAUGAAAACAUAUUUUUUCAAUUUAGUGUAUUUUCAUUUAAAUACCGUAAAACUUAAAUUAAUAGCCCUUACGUGUGUUUCCUUAAAUCACUGAACACAACAGGUGCUUAUUUGAGCUAGGCGUCUAUUUCCUUAAUGCACACAACUUUUGCAAAUUUGCAUAGUUAAUUGUUUAAUUCCAGCAUUCACUUCCAGCAUUUUAAUACAUUUCUUCAUUUCUAGCACUAAUGUGUUAUCAUUUACACGCUGUGUCACGUUUCUUUUGUCUUAGUAUGCCUCCAUUUCAAAACUUUUUUUUUCUUUUGACACAAUAAUUAUUCUCCUCUUUGACUGUGCAUUUUUGUCUGUUCUUUCUUUCACCACUAGAGGGUAAUUGGCCUAUUUUUACGGGUCUGUACUCCCAGAAUAGUUUUUGUGCUUGCCAGUUAGCUAGAAGUUCUUAGCUGUUUGCCGCCAAUGGCUAGCAGUUUCUUAC